rnacentral:lncRNA from 1 species
GUAAGUACACUGGAUAAUCUUGUGGCUAUAAGAUGGCAUUUCCAAUUUAAGUAGAGUGUUCUGAAUUGAAAAAAGCUGGAAGUUUCUAGUGAUUUCAGUAGGAUGAAACUUACUAUCUGGCUAAAAUAUAGAGGAAAGGAACUUUACUACACAUGAAAGGAACUUUAAAGAUUUAUUAAUCUUUAUAAUGGACAGAAGCUUCCCUGAUUCUUUAAGAAAUCAGUAUUUUUCCUGUGGUAUAUCACAAGUGUGCUAUAAGUGACAGGCAGCAUCUGAUAAAAUUCAUUAUUUUGCUGCUGCUUCUAAGAAGAAAGGGUGGAGAUGCUUUUGGGUGUUUUGAAAUAUGUUAUGUGUAGAGGUGUACGUUUUCCAGCUUUAAAAAGAUGUGACUGUGACCCAAUUGCACUUUAGCUGAAAUAAACAUUUUGGGGAGGAAUUUAGCUGAGUGGUUAUUUUUGGUCUGGCGGAGGGGAAGCCAACGGAGUGCCUGUUAUUACCCUGAUGCUGAUUACUGGAACUGACCAGCUUAAGGGCAAUUUGGUAACUUUGUUUAAAAACAAAAGUAGGUCCAGCUGUGAUUUAGAGAGGGAGAAGCUCUAAACCGCUUUUUUAUUUUCCUUUAAGAUAAAUAAUAAAAAACUUUCCUAGCUGAAAACAUUAUCUGAACCUCACAUGAUGUGGGAUUCAGGGAAUUAACAGGAUGAUUCAGGCACACAAUCUUAACACUCAUACCCAAUCUUGAGAAUUUUCCUUGAGGGAUAAAACUUCUUUCCUGCUUUUGGUCAAAAAACAAGCCAAACCCUAACACUGAGCUCUGGCAUACGCUGUAGUCCAGUAUAACCUCAGGAUGCAAGCAGUGUGACUUUAGCAGACGUUUGCAGCACUCCUCCCUGUCACUCCUUCCCUUUCCUCUCCUCUGCUCCAUAUGGAGACAUGUGCCAGCAGCUGGAAGCAGGGGCUGAAGGGUGGUUCAAAGUGUUCCUUUGUUAUUUUUUAUUAGGGAGUGUGACAGAGAGCACUGAGAGCUGCUGUUUGUAUUAGCUUGCAUCUGUGUUUGCAGACAGAGCAAGGGCGCUGGCUGAGCUCAGCCCCCGAGUAACAGAAAGUUCUAAUCUUGCUGCCCUUCUGCUCUCCUGAUGCAACUCCGCUUUGGUUUUUCUAUAAAGGGAAGAAAAAUUGUCACACGGGCUGCACUGAUGCAGCAGGAAUUGAGCAUGCUCUGAACAGGCAACAUUUCCAAAGUGGCCACAUAGACUCAGUUCAUGGUGGGUUUGUUUCAUGUUCCUUCCCUUGCCAUUUCUCCUUAAAAAUAAACAAAUGGACUCAAGCAAAAUAUAUCCUUUUACUUAUGCAAGAAAUAAAGGAAGUUAGUGAGACUUGGUGCCCCUCCAUACUGCUCUUAACUUCAAAUGCACACGUGCCCGUAUAUUUUCUUGCUUUUUUCCUCUUAGGAGUGCUUUCAUUGGUGGUCCUCCUGACAGUGUGGCUUAUAGAUUCCUCUGACAUAAUCUUUGACAUCUUUAAAUCUACAGUCUGAUUUUUUUUUUCUUUCCCUUUACCAUUCUUCCUUAAUACACAGCCACUUCUCUUCCCAUUCACUUGGUUCUUUCACUUGUUGAAUUGGUAAAAUCUUUUUACUUACUGGUCCCCAGAUGAAUCAAGUGAUGCCAAAUUACCUGGGGAUUUCUUGAUUAUUAUUGUUAUUAUUUUAAAAGUUCAUUUUAUUUGUGCCAUUAUUUUUUUCUGGUUUCCUGUUCUUUCUGGUUAAUGUCUGUGACCCAUCUUUUCUCUGUCUUAGUUCAUAGACUCUCUGUGGUCUUUUAAAAUUGACUUGACUUUAUUUGAUUGAUUGUUUCCAAUUUUCCUGCUGUUCUGAUCCUAUCUCACAGCUGCUCUUAGGAGGUAAUCUCUAACAUUCCCUCUCAAACAGAAUAACUUUACUAAAUAGUUUAGGAUUUGGCUAACACAGUUGUAGACAAGUAGAUCCAGAGCUUGCCUUAUCUGUCUUGUUUUAAGACAAAUCCAACCUGAUAGGAUGGUCAGACUGGCUGCCUGCAAUAUACUGCCUUUCACCUCAUUUCUGAUUUCCCUUUUGUUGAGCCAUAUGCUGCCAACAUCCUUGUCAUUUCUCUGUCUCCUCCCUUUCCUCCAGCUGAUGUUUUGGCACUAUUUAAAUCCAUGUCCAGUUGUGCUUUUAUUAAACACAGGGAUGGAAAUUCUGCCCAGUGGUUCCUUUUCAGUCUCCACCUCCUUUUGUUUUGUCUUAAAUGCAUUUAAGGGGAAGCAGGAGGAGAGAUGGAAAAGGAAGGGUUCAGUCUAGACUUUCAGAGCAGUUUCUCUUUCCCUAAAGAGCACAGCUCAUUUCCUUACAGAGUAGCAUGGCUGGGAAGUUGUGUAUUUCUUCUCAGCACUAACUUUCCUGAAAUUUGUUGAAUCAAAGCAUAGCUACUAAGCAUAAACACAAAUGUGUGAGUGUUCUCCUCUCUCCUGCUUCAGAGUAGAAGAAUGAGCAGAGUAAUGAGUGAAGGGGAGCAGCUACAGGGUGGAAACGUUGAAAGAAAAUAGAUAAAUAUCCAUAGACACACCUGCACUUAGGUGUUUCUGCACUGUGGGGCCUCACAGAGGUUGUUUUUUUUGCCAGAAAUGAUUCAAGGACAGAAAACUGAGCAAUGUGGAAGUUGAUGAUUUGCCUGAGGGUUAUUUACAAGGUUUUGCCUUUGCAAAAAAAGUGUUACUUUAUGGCUGUAACUUUAACCCUUCAUACAUUGCACUUAGCCAAAGACUGGAGAGAUUCUUUUUUCUUCAAAGUGCAUCUACAGUUGCUGGUUUUGAAUAAAGGCCCAUUUAAUACUGGUGCAUCUACUCUUGCCAAGUUUCUGUGUUUGCUUUGAAUCAAAUUAAAUUGCAUUGUCAUAUUAAAAAUGAGUAGUGUAGUCUUCACCAAGCUGUUUUCCUCUGUGAUACUCUGUUUAAAUUUUUCGGUAAAUGAAGCUUGGUCUGGUUAGAAAGAAAAUGUAUAAAAAACAAACACAAAUACCCAAAAAACAAGUGAUGAGAUCAUAAUUUGUCUACUUCAUGGAGUUUCCACUUUAUUAAUGUAGCUGCUUCCUUAUGUGUUUGUUUACUUACGAGAUGAGGUUUCUUUUGUGUGAAGAUGUGGACAGGAAGAUAAGCUGAAAUCUGACGGUGUCCUUGGUUUAAGAUAACUCAUCCAUUCAGUUUGUAUUCUGCUUAGUGAAACAAAGCUACAUAACGUUUGUUGUUCUGCCACCACAAGGUAAAAUACCACACUGCUCCUUGCCAUCACAGUGAUGUUUUUCCAAAUGAAAGAAAGUACCUGUCUUAAGAAGAGACUGUGUAUGGGCAGGCGUGCUGGUGAGGUGUGGCUACUACAUCCCCUUGAUCAUCGUUGCCUAUUCUUCCUAUUUUUUCUUUUUAACUUUGUUGCUUUGUGUGUUUUGGAUUCUGCUGCAUGUAGUAGGUGCUAAGGCUGCGUCUUGUAUAUUGGGUGAAAGUGGGAGGUUAAGGUGCUGCUUCCUAUGAGGGAGAAUGGAUGUGCAGCAAACAAAUGAUUUAGCAAAUGCUACUUUUGAAGGUGUGACCAGAGCAGUGCACUCUGACAAGGGCAGAAACUGCAACAGCAGGCAACAUUUUCAUCCAACUAGGCAAAGACAAGUGAGUAUCUCCUAUUUUUUUGUAAUUUUCAUCGUUUUAUAGAUAUCUACUCUAAUGGUACUGGGCUCGGCAAAGGGAGAUUUUGAGGCAUAAAUUAGGACUGCGAGUGUUUUUGCACAUGUUAUUGCUCAGUCUGGCAGGAAGCAGUCCCAAAGAAAAACCGGCUGUGUUCAAGGAAAACCAGAGUGGGAAACAGUGCUGUGCUAAAAGCUGAAUGUGGCAGUUCAGAAUACAUGGAGGCAUAGGUGGAAGUUAAAAGAAGAAAAAGCAGGAGGAAUAUCUAAUUUUGUGGUUCAUCAUCUGAUGGGAUUCCAGAGCCCUGGCUGUGUCUCAGGAUCUGUCUUGUAACUGCACAGCAAAAUUCUUGGAUUUGCAAAAUAAGAGUAAUAAGUGCUUGAAGUUAUUGGUUUAAAAUGUAAUAACUAAAGAUUGAGUUUUAUCAUUGCUGAUAAUAAUAUGGUUAUUCAUUUAUACUCAUUCUAAAUUUUAUGUCAGAAAAACAUUACUGUUUUUCUGUGUACAGUGUAUGAUGCAGUGUAGGAUGCAUACAUAUUUCUCUGUGUGUCUUGCUCAGAGGCAGACUGUAAAAAUUUAGAGUUCUUUGCUUUAUCCUGAUAUGUAACAUACACUGUAGCAGUAGAAUUUGUUCAGAUCAAUAUAUUUAAUACUUUCUCAGUAAAUGGUCAACAGAUAAACCACAUCAUUUGAAGAGGAAAUCAAAGUUUACUUUCUGGUUUGGCAGGUCUCUCAUUUUUUACAAAACAAGACAGAGUAGGCCAGAUUUAGUAUAGCAUCCACAUGGAUCUAAAGAUCUAUGCAUGCUUUAACUGAAGAUGGUAGAAGAAAGCAGAUAAGAGCUACAUUUUUUACUUAUGAAGAAAGGUUGAGGGAGCUGGGCUUGUUUAGCUUGGAGAAAAGAAGACUCCAGGGAGACCUCAUUGUGGCCUUCUAGUACUUGAAGGGAGUGUAUAAACGGGAGAGGGAACGGCUGUUUAUGAGGGUGAAUAGUGAUAGGACAAGGGGGAAUGGUUUUAAACUGAGACAGGGGAGGUUUAGGUUAGAUAUUAGGAGGAAGGUUUUCACUCAGAGAGUGAGGAUGCACUUGAGCAGGUUGCCCAAGGAGGUUGUGGAUGCCCCAUCCCUGGAGGCAUUCAAGGCCAGGCUGGAUGUGGCUCUGGGCAGCCUGGUCUAGUGGUUGGCAACCCUGCACAUAGCAGGGGAGUUGAAACUAGAUGAUCAUUGUGGUGCUUUUCAACCCAAGCCAUUCUAUGAUUCUAUAUGAUCUUGAUUACCAUAGUUGUAGCUGACAAUUUUACAGGAGGUACAUAAGAAUGUACCUUUGCAUCAGUUUCAGGUGUAUUUGUACUAGGAGUGGCAGUGCUCAGGCCUAUCUCUAGAUUAGUAAUGUCUUAUUUGUAAAGUGUACCCUUUUCAGUUUUCCUGGCUAAAAUAAGAUACAUUUUUAUUUAAAAAGUAAGUAUACGUUUGGCUAUGUAUAGAUUUGGAAAAAAAUCUGAUAGCUUGCUUGCUUAGUGAACAGCCGUUGGAUGCAGUCUCUAAUCUCAGAGCUGGCUGCUGGUUUCACCUGCUUUCUCUCAGUAUUGCUGGUGUUCUCAAAGUUACUCAGGCAGGUAACUAUGAUGCUAAGUAGAACUGGGAAAUAUGCAUGUAAACAUUAUUUUUGCCUCACAGUUUUUUCUUUUGUGCAAAAAUGGUGAAUAAUCACCGUCACUAAACUGGUUGGAAGCAGAAAGAAUGACAUGUUGCACCAAGGACAGAGAAAUGAGAAAAAUCUUGGAGUUUUCUAAAUGUUUACAGGAACUUCCUGAGAUUUCAGGAAGUAGAUGAAGACUAACUGGGUUGUGUAUCACCUUGAUCACUCUUAUCACUCUUGAUAACAUCACCUAAGUAUUCAAUUGGUGCUAUAGAAACAACUGUGAUGGAAGAACCGUAAUGCUUCUCAGAAAAUAGCUUUUUGAGAUGCAGCACUAUCCAUUCCUUGUCACAUGUGUAGCACUGCUAAAGCAGCUCAAAGUAAAUCCCUCUGUCACAACUGCCUAAAAUGGUUCAAGGCUGAGAAACAAAGGCAACUCUCCUUACCACAUCCCUAAAUUCUCCUUUUCCACUUUCCUAAUCUACUGCCCUUCAUAUCAGGAGGAUUACUGGAUAUACUUCUGGGAAAUUAACAGAAUGUUUGUUUUGCUUCUUUUCAAAGUGUUUUCAUGGUUUUAGGUGAGUGUUUGACUUAUGUUCAUUGGCCCUUGCACAAGACUGUGAAAGCUAUUUCCUUUUCCCUUAAUUAAAGCAUAUAGAAUAUCAGAUUUUUCAGAAGUGAAUUUCCUCUCAGGAGAUAGGUGAGCAUAUGUAGUAGAAGUGGUUGUUUUUAUAGACUUGUGCAGUUGGUUCUUCUAAACUUUCCAGAUACUUUCUUAAGACAAACUACAGACAGAAGUACUGUCUGGUGGUUUGUUUGUUUGUUUGUUAUUUUAGGUUUUUUUUUUUUUUUUUUUUUUUUUUUUUUUUUUUUUUACUUAAAUAUAGUGGUAGCAGGAACACCGUAUCAAAUGUUGACAUGGUGAAGGCAACGGACAAGGCAAGUUCUGUGUAACUUGAUUUGAGAUAGUGAAGCUCUACUAGCCCUCUGUUUGUUUGUUUGGUGUUUUAUUUUUUUUCCUGGUAUUACUUUUGGAGCGACCUACGUAUUUUUGUGCAUGACUUAUCUGAAGCUCUGGUACGUGAGUGAAGAAAGGAUAAAAGGGGAAGACAUUUCCUUCUCUUUUUCUUAUGU